GCUCUUUUAGCUUAAUUGGUUAAAGCGUUGGUCUUAUGAGCCAAAGAUUGGGAGUUCAAGUCUCCCAGAGAGCA
rnacentral:tRNA from 1 species